rnacentral:rRNA from 1 species
CACGACCGGCGCACGGGUGAGUAACGCGUAUGCAACCUACCUUUAACAGAGAGAUAGCCCGAAGAAAUUCGGAUUAAUAUUUCAUAAUAUUUAGAACUGGCAUCAGUUUUAUUUUAAAGCUCCGGCGGUUAAAGAUGGGCAUGCGUGACAUUAGUUAGUUGGUGAGGUAACGGCUCACCAAGACUACGAUGUCUAUGGGGUCUUAAAGGAUGGUCCCACACACUGGUACUGAGACACGGACCAGACUCC